UUCAUCCAUUUUUCUUUCUUCUUGCCCAAGAAUUUCAAAAAGAAACGGGGAAUAUUCACACACAGAGAGGGAACGGAAAGCGAAGAGAGAGGAAGUGGGGACAAGACUUUAAGGGGAGGAGAGGAUUUUCGGGAGAGAGAGUUUGAGUGGGGGCAACACUUUUGACGGGGAGAGAGGAUUUUAAGGAGUGAGAGUGAGGGGAACGGACAGAGAAAAAAAGAGGAGAGAUUAUGAGAAGAAAUUAAUUCCUGCAUCAUAAAACCUUUCACCAAACGUCCGAGUCUGGGGAUCUUCCAUUUUUCAUGAAUUAACAACACCCAUAUCAUGCCUAUCAUUCAAAAAAUGAGCCAAUACCACUCUUAACAUACUAUGUAAAUUUACCACUUUAAAUAAGUUCUAAAACCAGUCACUGCCUCCAUCGAAACAACCUUCAAACACCUUGAAAACCACAUAAAAUCGAGUUUCUGCUAUCAACUUCAUCUUGCCGAUGAACCCAGUUUUCCCGGCGGAAAUUUCGGUGGCAGCAGUCAUCCGUUUCAAUCAUCGGUAAAGAGUCGAGGUCCGUCCGAGGUGGCGUGCAAGGAUCCGGUCUAAGCUCGUCCAUCUUGUCGGGUUCUGUGUUUAAUAAUAUCAACUGAGGAUCUGACAGGUUCAUUUGGUGUCUAUUUGGGCGCAUAAGUGCAGCUGUUGAGGGGACUUUAUGGUGAGUUGCAUUUCCAUGCUAUGAUUCGCAACACACAGAGUUUCCAUCAUAAUUGUUUACUUUAUCAUAUCUAUCUUGUAUUCCAGACAGAUGUUGUAUUGUUAUUGUACUUCCUAGUAGAUGCUCAUGCACUUGUGACACCGGAUUUUGGGGGUUCCUAGUGGAUGUUCAUUAUUGUAGUUCACGUUAUUAUUAUCAUUUCACAUUAUGAUUUAUUUACAUU